UGGGAUCCUACAGAUUGUUUAUCCCAAGGCUGUCUGGGCCUGGGCUCUGUGAACAGUGUCACUCUAAAAAUAACAGGCUGUGCCGAGAAUAGCAGACUUUCUCCUUUUUCCUGCAGAAGACGACUUCUCAGCUCCUUGGAGGGGUCAGUACGAGGUGAGAGCCAUAGAAAGAUGGCAACCAGGUCUGCCCUCUGGAAGUCAGCUGAAGCCCAGUGCAAAGUGCAGCUGGUCAAGACAUUGUGGUUCUCAAUCAGGAACCCUUUGCAAUGUCAGCCUCCCCUAGGAUGAGUGAGCAAGCUUGGCGGGAAUAUGGGGGUGUUGAUUAUGGUCUCUCCUCUGGGACAUUCAGAAUCAAUCUGUCCGUCGCAAGAUCGAAAUAAAGUGGUGAUAUAGAUGAGUCUGAGAACUUAUCUACAACUCACAGCAGCAACUCUCUGUGUAAAUGUUAAUUGUACAAUCAGGGUAAAAAAAAUAACUCUAAUACCAUAUGUGCAUGUUAGGAAAUUAUCUAAGUGCAUAUGGAAUCGGGAGCUCAGAGGCUGAAGGAACUGAAAGGAUUUUCCAUAUAAAAUUCUUUACUGC
rnacentral:lncRNA from 1 species